GUUGAAAAUAAACUCAAAGUCAGAUUUGCAAGCCCUCCCCUAUAUCAUAUAUUUGCCUUGGUCCUCAGUUUCUUCCAUACCAGUAAAAUCAGCUAUCACCCUUCGCAUAUCAGAAGGCAAAUUAGCAGAGAAAAACAUCUUAGAUUUAGCAAAAUUAACUUUUUGUCCCGAAGCUUGACCAAAAACAUCCAAACAGUUUUCAACUACCCGCAUUUGAUCUAUCGAAGCGUGAGCAAAUAAAAGCAAAUCGUCCG
rnacentral:misc_RNA from 1 species